GACCAGAUGUCUCCUUGCGGGCUUCUAUGCAAUGCACCAGUGGCAGGUCGUCAACAAAGUCGUCUUCAUCUGUGCCUAUCUGGGGACAGUGGAUGGAAGAGGGCAGACAGCUCAGGGUCAUGUGACUUCGGGGAAGAUUUGUGGUCACAACGACGACAAACAAGUUGAGGCCGAUGAAAGCACCGAUGGUGAUGAAGAUGGCAAAGUAGAUAGCGCCUCCAACCUCCAUGGCGAUCUCUCUAUCGUCCAUCCUGGGGACGGCAGUCAGGAGCUCCGUCAUUUCCCUGGCCCUUUAAGCCUCAGUUUCCUCAUCUUUAAAACAAGGGAAUUAUAUUUCCCACUCCUGCUGGUCGCAGAAGCAGCUCUUUACUGAGACCUGCUGUGCAGCCAGACAGCGAGGUCAACUCUCAAACCAGUCCUACAAGGGUGUAUGUCACACUAGCAAGUGCAAGCUAUACUUACAUAGACGAUAAACAGAAGCACUCUAUGCUGAGCUGCAUUUUAGAAGAGCUCUAUAGAUUUUAUAGACUGAUCCCCAUGGCACUCUAUGAGGUAGGCAAUAUUGCACUAUAGUCUAACUGAAGAUAAGAAUCCCAGCACUUGGGAAGUAGAAGUAGCCUGGGUCACCUGAGUUCCUUUUUCCAAAAAAAAAACAAUGUUUGCCUAGCAUGCACAAAGCCCCAGAACAGCAUAAACUGGGUGUGGUGAUGCAUGACUUCGAUCCUAGCAUUUGGGAAGAGGGAGGAGUUCAAGGCUAUCCUAGGCUAUACUGGACUCCACUUAAAAACAAAAAUAAAACAGACAAAUCAAGCCCCUCCGGCUUUUAAAAGCUAAAUGUGCCGGGUGUUGGUGGCGCACGGCUUUAAUCCCAGCACUCAGGAGGCAGAGGCAGGUGGAUCUCUGUGAGUUGGAGGCCAGCCUGGUCUACAGAGCUUUCCAGGACAGCCUCCAAAGCCACAGAGAAACCCUGUCUUGAAAAACCAGAAAAAAAAAUGCUAGACAUUGGAGCUAUAGCUUAGUAGUAGAAGGCCUGCUUAGCAUGCUAAGGCCCAGAACUCCAAAAUACAUAAGCAAAUACAUAAGUAAAUAAAUACAUAAGUAAAUAAAUACAUAAGCUGGUCUUGAUGGCCCGCAUCUGUAAUCUCAGCACUUAGGAGACUAAGGCAGGAAGAUCACUUCAAGAUUGAGGCCAACAGUGGGACAGUUUGUUGAAUGUCACAGGGCCAGUGCAGGGGAAAGUGCUCAAAAGCCUAGUGCAGCUUCACUGUGCAGUUCACAUAGACCAGGCUGGCCUCGAACUCACAGAGAGGCACCUACCUCUGACUCCUACGCGUUGGGAAUAAAGACGUGUGCCACCA